UGGGGAAUCUUGGACAAUGGGGGCAACCCUGAUCCAGCGAUGCCGCGUGGGUGAAGAAGGCCUUCGGGUUGUAAAGCUCUUUAGGCUGGGAAGAAGUGUAGUAGAGGAAAUGCUAUUACGUUGACGGUACCGGCGAAAUAAGCACCGGCAAACUCUGUGCCAGCAGCCGCGGUAAUACAGAGGGUGCGAGCGUUAAUCGGAGUUACUGGGCGUAAAGGGCGCGUAGGCGGUUGAAUGAGUGUGAUGUGAAAGCCCCGGGCUUAACCUGGGAAGGGCAUCGCAAACUGUUUGACUAGAGUACAAGAGAGGGUGGCGGAAUUUCCGGUGUAGCGGUGAAAUGCGUAGAGAUCGGAAGGAACGUCGAUGGCGAAGGCAGCCACCUGGCUUGAUACUGACGCUGAGGCGCGAAAGCGUGGGGAGCGAACAGGAUUAGAUACCCCCGUAGUCC
rnacentral:rRNA from 1 species